GACAUGGAGCUGCUUUCUCCGGCAGCGGCUGUGAUAGGCUUCAGAGAGCGGCGCUCAGAGCCGGUACUCAGGGAGUUCCUCACUCAAUAACUUGCCAACUGCUGUUUGGGAUGUUGGUUAGUCAGCCAGAGAGACAAAGGUCAGGGAGGUCGGGAACCUUCAAUAAAUCCUGCAGUAAGGUACUCAGGGAGUCCUGACUCAAUAGACUUCCCAACUGCGGGGUGUCUUGUCCAUCAACACAUUAAAGAUGGUUGACCAGCUAGAGAGACAAAGGACAGGGAGAUCUGGAGUCUUCAAUAAAUCCUGCAGUGAGGUAAUCAGGAUAAUCCGAAUUCCUGUCUCACUCAUCAUCUCAUUGAAGUUGGUUGGUCAGCCAGAGAGAGAUGGAGAGGGAGAUCUGGAGCCUUCACUAAAUCCUGCAGCCGGUACUCAGGAAGUUCUGGACUCCAUAGACUUCCCAAUUACUGGGUGUCUCGUCCAUCACCUCGUUGAAGAUGGUUGGUUAGCCAGAGAGACAAUGGGCAGGGAGAUCUGGAGCCUUCAAUAAUUCCUGCGGCAAGUGAGAAGAGUGAGUCCUCUAGGUGUGCGUUGGAACAGCCUUGCAAUUUAAAAGUCCUAGAGUCGGUGAGACCUCCAGGUGUGCGUUGAAACACCCCAGCAAUUCUAAAAGUCCUGGAGACGGACCCUUAUGACCCGGACUAUCGACCGAGCCCUUACAGACAAGGACGACCACCCCUCUUCGCCCCCACCUUAUCAAGCCGUGCAGCAGGGAUGCGCGGGCGCUCCCUAUGCGACAGUGAGCAUGACUGGAUUGGAGAUGGAGGGGGACCACCCGCCCCCAUGUUACGACUUUUGAGUGUUUAUGUUUGUUAUGUUUAUUUCACUGUUUCUCGUGCCUUAACGAUUGUAUGCGAGCUGGAGAGGCGCAUAGAGUAGGGAUUUUGCGGCGCGGAAUGCUUUGUGUACUUGUAUGCUGCUUAGGGACUCCUUUCCCUUAUAACUGUGUCUCCAUAGACUCAGACAAGCCGGGUAACGCCAAGUGGUCGGUCUUGCAAAUGAGUGACGGAGGGGCACUCACCGACCCGCCCGGCCCUGACUGCUGCGCGCGUUUGCUGUAUUUGUGGCCUCUCUGAGGCCAAGAGGGGGAAUGUUAGGUAGAAGUAACACUCAGGCAAAUGUAAGAUGGAAGUAACACUAAAAUGUUGGAUAGAAGCAGUAACACUAAAAUGUUAGAUAGAAGUAGCUCUCAGGCUGAUGUGGCCAGGGGGCCCCAGAGGGGAAAAACAGACACGAGGUCUGAGGAAGAUAAUUGAACCAGUGGAAAAGUACUGAAAGAGCAGUAAAACUUGAAAAAACAGAACAAAGGGGCCAUCUGGUACAUAGCAAGUUGAGCUAACUGAUAGCCGAAUAAGGCAUGUUAGAACACUGAUAAGAGACUGGGGCCAAUGGCAAACUAUAGAACCGACCAUUACCAAAUAAGGGAACGGUGCAGGAAUAAGGGGGGUAUAAGAAUAAACAACUUAGAACAAAGCAUUAGAAGGCGCCUUCUCCAGCGAGCCUGACACCUUGCUGUAACUCGAUUCUCUCUCGA